AACGAACGCUGGCGGCAUGCCUUACACAUGCAAGUCGAACGGUAGCGGGCCUUCGGGUGCCGACGAGUGGCGAACGGGUGAGUAAUGUAUCGGAACGUACCUUUCAGUGGGGGAUAACGUAGCGAAAGUUGCGCUAAUACCGCAUAUUCUGUGAGCAGGAAAGCAGGGGAUCGCAAGACCUUGCGCUGAUUGAGCGGCCGAUAUCAGAUUAGCUAGUUGGUGAGGUAAAGGCUCACCAAGGCGACGAUCUGUAGCGGGUCUGAGAGGAUGAUCCCCCACACUGGAACUGAGACACGGUCCAGACUCCUACGGGAGGCAGCAGUGGGGAAUUUUGGACAAUGGGGGCAACCCUGAUCCAGCCAUGCCGCGUGAGUGAAGAAGGCCUUCGGGUUGUAAAGCUCUUUCGGCCGGGAAGAAAUCGUAUCAGCUAAUACCUGGUGCGGAUGACGGUACCGGCAUAAGAAGCACCGGCUAACUACGUGCCAGCCGCCGCCGUAACAC
rnacentral:rRNA from 1 species